rnacentral:rRNA from 1 species
UACGGAGACUGCAAGCGUUAUUCGGAUUCACUGGGCGUAAAGGGUGCGCAGGCGGUCGUGUGUGUCAGGUGUGAAAUCUCGGAGCUCAACUCCGAAACUGCGCCUGAAACUACACGACUAGAGUAUCGGAGAGGUGAGCGGAAUUCAUGGUGUAGCAGUGAAAUGCGUAGAUAUCAUGAGGAACACCAGAGGCGAAGGCGGCUCACUGGACGAUUACUGACGCUCAGGCACGAAAGCAUGGGGAGCAAAAGGG